rnacentral:rRNA from 1 species
UGCCAGACUCCUACGGGAGGCAGCAGUGGGGAAUAUUGCACAAUGGGGGAAACCCUGAUGCAGCGACGCCGCGUGAGUGAAGAAGUCUUUCGGUAUGUAAAGCCCUAUCAGCAGGGAAGAACAAUGACGGUACCUGACUAAGAAGCACCGGCUAAAUACGUGCCAGCAGCCGCGGUAAUACGUAUGGUGCAAGCGUUAUCCGGAUUUACUGGGUGUAAAGGGAGCGCAGGCGGCGCGUUAAGCCUGGUGUGAAAGCCCGCGGCCCAACCGCGGGACUGCAUUGGGAACUGGCGCGCUGGAGUGCCGGAGGGGUAGGCGGAAUUCCUAGUGUAGCGGUGAAAUGCGUAGAUAUUAGGAGGAACACCAGUGGCGAAGGCGGCCUACUGGACGGUGACUGACGCUGAGGCUCGAAAGCGUGGGGAGCAAACAGGAUUAGAUACCCGAGUAAA